rnacentral:rRNA from 1 species
GAUGAACGCUGGCGGCGUGCCUAAUACAUGCAAGUCGAGCGAACGGACUAGAAGCUUGCUUCUCUGAUGUUAGAGGCGGACGUGUGAGUAACACGUGGAUAACCUACCUAUAAGACUGGGAUAACUUCGGGAAACCGGAGCUAAUACCGGAUAAUAUUUUGAACUGCAUGGUUCAAAAGUGAAAGACGGUCUUGCUGUCACUUAUAGAUGGAUCCGCGCUGCAUUAGCUAGUUGGUAAGGUAACGGCUUACCACGGCAACGAUGCAUAGCCGACCUGAGAGGGGGACCGCCCACCCUGGAACUGGAACACGGCCCAGACUCCUACGGGAGGCAGCAGAAGGGAUCCUUCGGCAAUGGGGGAAAGCCUGACGGAGCAACGCCGCGGGGGUGAUGAAGGUCUUCGGAUCGUAAAACUCUGUUAUUAGGGAAGAACAUAUGUGUAAUUAACUGUGCACAUCGUGACGGUACCUAAUCAGAAAGCCACGGCUAACUACGUG